rnacentral:lncRNA from 1 species
GUGGGUGAGGGGCCGCGGGCCCCCCCGACGGUGGUCUGUAAGCCGAGGUCCGUGCGGUGGGGCCAACGCCGGCUGUGGGAUGCGGUUGUGAGCUUUACGUGGGGAAUCAAAAAGCACUGUGUUGGCGUGAGGUAGCGGUGUUGUUCUGACUUGGCCUGAGACGGUGCUUUCCCUGGUAGUGCGGUGCUGCUUGGAGGAGGGAAUGAAGUAAUGGAGUAACGUUCCGGCGGUAGUUCUGCAGCGCGCUGCCCCGCUCCGCAGCCCGCAGCUCGGGAGCUGAGCCAUCCGGCUGCUGAGCAGUGUGAUGUAGGGCUGUUAGGUAGACCGAUGGCCGAGGUGUAACCGGUAAGGAUGAAGUGACAAGUUACAGCGCUUGCGAACUUGAGGAUCCGAAGGAUUUAAAGCCCGUAUUUGAGCCGUGGAAGUGCGCUUUGUUAGCUGUUGUGCUCAAUUAGUGCUAGCUUAGUUGGGCAUUUAAGGAGAAAACAGGCAAACGUGGAAAGACCGUCACUUGCCUACGCUGAAAUGAAGGCCCCAAGUCGUUCUUGCCCUGUGAAUGUGGCUUUCAAGUAGGUCCUGCCAGAAGGAUGCUUCAUCAGCAGCUGUUCAGCCUGUCACCAGGACCGGGCUGUAUUCCCGCUGAGCAACGUGGAAGCAAGAUUUAUUUCCAGAAGCAUUCUGGGGUUGUGUUGUGCAAAGCAAUCUCUCCUCACUGCUGGCUGAAAGGUGACUUCGUAGGGUUUUUUGGUGUUUGCAUGGCUUGUGGGAGUGGGAAUGUAGUUAUUGGGCAGAGAAUGGAGAGGUUUUGUUGUACGUGAAAUAAUUGAGUUGGUCGUUUUUCUCCUCCUUUUCCACAGCUAUUUUCUUCACAUAAAUAAGAUUAGAA